rnacentral:rRNA from 1 species
GACGAACGCUGGCGGCGUGCUUAACACAUGCAAGUCGAACGGAAAGGCCCUGCUUUUGUGGGGUGCUCGAGUGGCGAACGGGUGAGUAACACGUGAGUAACCUGCCCUUGACUUUGGGAUAACUUCAGGAAACUGGGGCUAAUACCGGAUAGGAGCUCCUGCUGCAUGGUGGGGGUUGGAAAGUUUCGGCGGUUGGGGAUGGACUCGCGGCUUAUCAGCUUGUUGGUGGGGUAGUGGCUUACCAAGGCUUUGACGGGUAGCCGGCCUGAGAGGGUGACCGGCCACAUUGGGACUGAGAUACGGCCCAGACUCCUACGGGAGGCAGCAGUGGGGAAUAUUGCAAAAUGGGCGGAAGCCUGAUGCAGCAACGCCGCGUGCGGGAUGACGGCCUUCGGGUUGUAAACCGCUUUCGCCUGUGACGAAGCGUGAGUGACGGUAAUGGGUAGAGAAGCACCGGCUAACUACGUG